CUCUGGUUCAGCAAAUGUAUCAGGGCAAAGGAG
ncrna:Carnobacterium funditum DSM 5970 L31-Firmicutes ribosomal protein leader